rnacentral:rRNA from 1 species
UACGUAGGUGGCAAGCGUUGUCCGGAUUUAUUGGGAUUAAAGGGUGCGUAGGCGGUUUUCUAAGUCAGCAGUGAAAUACGGCAGCUCAACUGUCGAGGUGCUGUUGAUACUGGGGAACUUGAGUACUGAUGAGGUAGGCGGAAUGGACGGUGUAGCGGUGAAAUGCUUAGAGAUCGUCCAGAACACCGAUAGCGAAGGCAGCUUACUAAGGAGUAACUGACGCUGAGGCACGAAAGUGUGGGGAUCAAACAGG